AAAUACGCGUGAGUAAACCGUUGCAUCUUUUCAUAAUGACUAAGUAACUCAUCAAAUUGCUACUAUGCUAAGGCACUUAGUCGAAAGUUUUCAGUGACUGAGUCCUUUGAGUCAUCCUGGUUGACUUUAAGCCUAUUCUGUGUCGUUGUGUUGGAACAGCUUAGCCCAGCUUGUUUGACUGUUGGGAUUGCCUUUCAAUUUGCUAUAGACUUUGUGGCGCCAAACUUCCUAUUAGUGCAGAAAUGUGGAUUAGUUUUAGGCCUAAUUUAGAUGAUAUUUUUCUGUUAAGAGUUGAGUUAUUAAUUAAAAUUUAAAUCACACUCACUCACUGAAAAAAUCGUGUCACAAACUAAUCGUUUAUCAUUUUAAUUGAAAAAAAAAACUAUUCCGCACUAUGAACUAGCAUUAACAUUUAUAGAAAAAAAAAACAAGCAGGACCCACACAAUUUUAAAUUCUACACAAAGAAAGCGUGGUUUAGUUUCAUUCGUUUUCUUACAAUUCUUUCGAACACAGAAUACCUUUUUCAAAUCGAAAGUCCUCCAUCUUGUUUAUUCUGCCAAGCGUUAGUGUUUGAAAAACAAUACUGGUUCAAUUAAUUUCCUUUGUAAACGCAGUAUUGUUUUUACUCAACAACUCUUAUUGAAACAAUUUUCCGAGAAUUUAACGAUCAACAUGAUUUUGUUAAGCAUUCUUAUAUAUUUAAUUUUAAAAGGUAGAAGGUUAUAUGAAGUUUAUAGGUGUUUCAGUGAAUUAUCUAUAUUCUGGACUGGUCUGUUGGCGGAGUGGGUAGUGAUUCGGACUGCUGAACCGGAGGUCGUGGGUUCAAUUCCCCCCUAUGGCCAUCAUUUGUUGAAAUGAUUAUAGGUUUUAUAUCGAACAAGCGUUUGUGUGAUUCAUGGUCCAUGGGUGCUUGUAAUAAGUUAGGUGUCUUCGUGCAUGUGAUUUGAAUGUUUGGGGAAAACCCUUGCGAUACAAUUAUGAUUAAAUGUACGCUAAAAAAAUAUCUAAUAGGUGUUGUUAUUCUAGGUUCCGAGGCUGAUCAGAAUGAUACAAAUGUAACGGAUGACACAACCGUUGACAAGGGUUUGUCUCUACAGCUUUGGAGGAUACAAGGCAACUUAGAUGAGGAAGUCAUUGACGAAUUUUAUGAAAGAGGAGCUGUUGAUGAGGACUCCUUCACAUGGACGGCAUUCCCUUACCUUGAGGACAUCAACCGAUACUUGGUGAAGCUUGCUUCGAGUUACCCCUACGUCACUGUCACAGCGAUUGGGUGGACAUCCAGACACAAUCCUAUAAGCAUGCUAAAAAUAUCGAAUGAGAGACCGGGAAACCAUGCAAUCUUGAUCGAAGCAGGGAUGCAUGGAAACGAAUGGACUACGGUUCUGUCUGCCUUAUAUUUCAUAGAUUCCAUUAUACCGGACUAUAAACGACUAUCUGCAUACCUAAAAAACAGAGACUGGUACAUUAUACCCGUUUUAAAUCCAGAUGGCUAUCAAUAUAGCAUAGAUUUUGACAAAACUUGGAACAAAAAUAGACGUAAAUUCAACGACGGAUGUAUAGGGGUUGAUUUAAAUAGGAAUUUUAAUUACAACUGGAGUUUGAGUGGUUAUACGCGAGCUAAAUGUGAUAGUUCUUAUUCUGGCUCCUUUCCGUUUUCUGAAGAGGAAAGCAAAGCUUUUAAGGUGAGACCUUUUUCGAUUUACCUUUUUUUCUGAAAUAGUUGGCUUCUUUGAUUAAAUCUGGAACAGUACAGCCCCAUCUAAAAAUAUGAAAGGAGAGGAAGAGUCUUUGUUCUACAAUGGGUCUUAGGCAACACGCGAGCUAUCAAUAUUUUUGCCUAUUUUGCAUGGUAUGGCACGUGCUGCAUAGUAAUAAAGAUUAUCUUACAGAUACACAAAAUCUUUAUUUGACAAGAAACACAGUAAAGAAACCUGUAUAAAAUUUUAACUUAAUUCAUAAGCCAAGAAUAAUCCAUAUUAUUUAAUUAAAUAAUUUAUCUCAGCUGGGUGUUGUGAGUUGCACCAAAUAGCAGAUAAGCUUAGCAUUAGCCAGGUAGAAUUAAAUACCUGACGCUAGAAUUCGAAGCAGUAGUGACAGACACGCCCAGAAGGCUCAAUAAAUAUGGCUGUUUAACUUUUUACUACUUAGCAUCAAUCGAUCAGAUGGCACUUCCAAAUCGCCUCUCAUUUCGAUUUUUAUUUUUAGAAAGUAGCAGAACGAAUUAAAUUUAAAGCAUACCUAUCUCUCCAUUCUCCCGGGGGCCAGGUAUUGUACCCACGGAAUAUGAGAGAACCUAAAGAAAUUGAAUAUGACGAAGUAGUAGAAGUAGCGAAGGAAAUAGCUUUGGCAAUGAGCAAAUUAUCCGACUUCACAUACAGAGACGAAUGCAUUAAAAAAGGAACAGAGUUUUCUCCUGGCAUGUCAGUAGACUGGAUGUAUAACAAGAGAUACGUUUUCCAUUCUUAUAUGGUAACGGUAAGAGGAAUAGACCAUGAUGAUCAAAGUGCUCGGAAAGAGUUGAAGCCCAUUGCCAAGGAGGUUAUGAAGGGAGUGAUACGAUUAGCUCAGUUACUGACAAUGGAAAUAGAACCGGAUACGACUACUGAAUAUACCGUGGCCACUUCCAGCGAAGAAAUUUCACAUGAGCCUCACAGUCACUGACUGCGCACAUCGUCCCUUAGAGCGGCAUCUGUCACACAAUUGAAUUACUAUUGAUUUCAAUAAUGGUAGUUGGUAUUCUGUAUUUUGUAAAUAGUGAUUUAGUUUAAUAAAGGUUUUUGUUAUAAGAUCAUAAUAAACUAGUUAGAUUUGAAACAUCUUUUCAAUGGAAUUUAUUAUUUUGAUGAUCGAAGAUAGGACUGGUAGAAUCACUUGAAAACCAAUUUCUAUACUAUCUCAUAAAGUCUAAGACUGUACUCUAAUAAUUUAAUAAGGUUGUAUUUUGUAAUAAGAAACUUCUUUCUGCUACUUUAUGCGACUAAGGCGAGUUCGAGUCCGUCGCCGCCUCAGCUCAUGAUUAAGGACUUUAGUCAUGUCUGAAACUAGUGAGGCUAUGCCAGCCAAAAUUUUACAGAAGUAAUUUUUUUAUUAAAUAUCAUCAUCGGCCUAGCC